rnacentral:rRNA from 1 species
GACGUAGGGCGCAAGCGUUGUCCGGAUUUAUUGGGCGUAAAGAGCUCGUAGGCGGUUUGUCGCGUCUGCUGUGAAAGACCGGGGCUCAACUCCGGUUCUGCAGUGGGUACGGGCAGACUAGAGUGCAGUAGGGGAGACUGGAAUUCCUGGUGUAGCGGUGAAAUGCGCAGAUAUCAGGAGGAACACCCGUGGCGAAGGCGGUUCUCUGGGACGGUACUGACGCUGAGACGCGAAAGCGUGGGGAGCGAACAGG